AACGAACGUUAGCGGCGCGCCUAACACAUGCAAGUCGCACGAGAAAGGGCUUCGGCCCCGGUACAGUGGCGCACGGGUGAGUAACACGUAGAUCAUCCCCCCUCGAGUGGUGGAUAACUCUCCGAAAGGAGAGCUAAUACAGCAUGAGACCACGGCUUCGUUGAAGCUGCGGCCAAAGCAGGCCUCUACACGUAAGCUUGAGAUUGAGGAUGAGUCUGCGGCCCAUCAGCUAGUUGGUAGGGUAAUGGCCUACCAAGGCUAAGACGGGUAGCUGGUCUGAGAGGAUGAACAGCCACACUGGAACUGAGACACGGUCCAGACUCCUACGGGAGGCAGCAGUGGGGAAUCUUGCGCAAUGGGCGAAAGCCUGACGCAGCGACGCCGCGUGAGCGAUGAAGGCCUUCGGGCUGUAAAGCUCUGUGGGGAGGAAAGAAUAAGGGUUGGCUAAUAUCCAGCUCGAUGACGGUACCUCCUUAGCAAGCACCGGCUAACUCUGUGCCAGCAGCCGCCGUAA
rnacentral:rRNA from 1 species